GACCUUGUACGGUUGUCCGCCUUCACGGUGUGUACUGCUGGACCGGGUUCUACCUCUUGGUGAGCCGGCAUGCCCUUCACUGGGUGUGUCGGGGAACCAGGACUUUUACCUUGAGAAAAUUAGAGUGUUCAAAGCAGGCCUACGCCCGAAUACAUUAGCAUGGCAUAAUAAAAUAGGACGUGCGGUUCUAUUUUGUUGGUUUCUAGAGUCGCCGUA
rnacentral:rRNA from 1 species